UACAGAGGGUGCGAGCGUUAAUCGGAAUUACUGGGCGUAAAGGGCGCGUAGGUGGUUAAUUAAGUCAGAUGUGAAAUCCCCAGGCUUAACCUGGGAAUUGCAUUUGAAACUGGUUAGCUAGAGUAUGGUAGAGGGAAGUGGAAUUUCCGGUGUAGCGGUGAAAUGCGUAGAUAUGUGGAGGAACACCGAUGGCGAAGGCAGCCCCCUGGGUCAAAACUGACGCUCAUGCACGAAAGCGUGGGGAGCAAACAGG
rnacentral:rRNA from 1 species